GGAGAUACAGCAAAAGCUCAUACUGUCUGUAUAAUGCUUCCACAAGCACAAGUGCUUGGCGCUGCUGAUUCUGCUGGGCUUGAGCUAACGUUGAAGAGCAUUUAAACAAACAUUGUGUCACUUCCUAAUGGCCACCAUAGACUCAG